rnacentral:lncRNA from 1 species
GGGUGCUGCUAUGGUGACCAGUGAGCUGAGAUAAGGGGGGAGUUUACCUAGCAGGGUCUUGUAGAUGACCUGGAGCCAGUGGGUUUGGCAACAAGUGUGAAGCAAGGGCCAGCCAACGAGAGCGUACAGGUCGCAGUGGUGGGUAGUAUAUUGGGCUUUGGUGACAAAACGGAUGGCACUGUGAUAGACUGCAUCCAGUUUAUUGAAUAGGGUUUUGGAGGCUAUUUUGUAAAUGACAUCGCUGAAGUCGAGGAUCGGUAGGAUGGUCAGUUUUACGAGGGUAUGUUUGGCAGCAUGAGUGAAGGAUGCUUUGUUACGAAAUAGGAAGCCAAUUCUAGAUUUAACUUUGGAUUGGAGAUGUUCAAUGUGAGUCUGGAAGGAGAGCUUACAGUCUAACCAGACACCUAGGUAUUUGUAGUUGUCCACAUAUUCUACGUCAGAACCGUCCAGAGUAGUGAUGCUGGACAGGCGGGCAGGUGUGGGCAGCGAUCGGUUGAAGAGCAUGCAUUUAGUUUUACUUGUAUUUAAGAGCAGUUGGAGGCCACGUAAGGAGAGUUGUAUGGCAUUGAAGCUCGUCUGGAGGGUUGUUAACACAGUGUCCAAAAGAAGGGCCAGAAGUAUACAGAAUGGUGUCGUCUGCAUAGAGGUGGAUCAGAGACUCACCAGCAGCAAGAGCGACAUCAUUGAUGUAUACAGAGAAAAGAGUUGGCCCAAGAAUUGAACCCUGUGGCACCCCCAUAGAGACCACCAGAGGCCCGGACAACAGGCCAUCCGAUUUGACACAUUGAACUCUAUCAGAGAAGUAGUUGGUGAACCAGGGGAGGCAAUCAUUUGAGAAACCAAGGCUAUUGAGUCUGCUGAUGAGGAUGUGGUGAUUGACAGAGUCGAAAGCCUUGGCCAGGUCAAUGAAUACGGCAGCACAGUAUUGUUUCUUAUCGAUGGCGGUUACGAUAUCGUUUAGCACCUUGAGCGUGGCUGAGGUGCUCCCAUGACCAGCUCUGAAACCAGAUUGCAUAGCGGAGAAGGUGCGGUGGGAUUCAAAAUGGUCGGUAAUAUGUUUGUUGACUUGGCUUUCGAAGACCUUAGAAAGGCAGGGUAGGAUAGAUAUAGAUCUGUAGCAGUUUGCGUCAAGAGUGUCCCCUCCUUUGAAGAGGGGGAUGACAGCAGCUGCUUUCCAAUCUUUUGGAAUCUCAGACGACACGAAAGAGAGGUUGAACAGGCUAGUAAUAGGGGUUGCAACAAUUUCGGCAGAUAAUUUUAGAAAGAAAGGGUCCAGAUUGUCUAGCUCAGCUGAUUUGUAGGGGUCCAGAUCUUGCAGCUCUUUCAGAACAUCAGCUGACUGGAUUUGGGAGAAGGAGAAAUGGGGAAGGCUUGGGCAAGUAGCUGUGGGGGGUGCAGUGCUGUUGACCGCGGUAGGGGUAGCCAGGUCGAUUAGAAAGGCUUGCUCGCUGAAAUGUUUCAGGGAGCGUUUGACAGUGAUGAGUGGAGGUCGUUUGACCGCUGACCCAUUACGGAUGCAGGCAAUGAGGCAGUGAUCGCUGAGAUCUUGGUUGAAAACAGCAGAGGUGUAUUUAGAGAGCAAGUUGGUUAGGAUGAUAUCUAUGAGGGUGCCCGUGUUUACGGCUUUGGGGUGGUACCUGGUAGGUUCAUUGAUAAUUUGUGUGAGAUUGAGGGCAUCAAGCUUAGAUUGUAGGAUGGCUGGGGUGUUAAGCAUGUCCCAGUUUAGGUCACCUAGCAGCAUGAGCUCUGAAGAUAGAUUGGGGGCAAUCAGUUCACAUAUGGUGUCCAGAGCACAGCUGGGGGCAGAGGGUGGUCUAUAGCAGGCGGCAACGGUGAGAGACUUGUUUUUAGAGAAAUGGAUUUUUAAAAGUAGAAGUUCAAAUUGUUUGGGUACAGACCUUGAUAGUUGGACAGAACUCUGCAGGCUAUCUCUGCAGUAGAUUGCAACACCGCCCCCUUUGGACGUUCUAUCUUGUCUGAAAAUGUUGUAGUUAGGGAUGAAGAUUUCAGAGUUUUUGGUAGACUUCCUAUGCCAGGAUUCAGACACGGCUAGGACAUCCGGGUUGGCAGAGUGUGCUAAAGCAGUGAAUAAAACAAACUUAGGGAGAAGGCUUCUAAUAUUAACAUGCAUAAAACCAAGGCUAUUACGGUUACAGAAGUCAUCAAAAGAGAGCGCCUGGGGAAUAGGAGUGGAGCUAGGUACCGCAGGGCCUGGAUUCACCUCUACAUCACCAGAAGAAUAGAGGAGGAGUAGGAUAAGGGUACGGCUAAAAGCUAUGAGAAUUGGUCGUCUAUGACGUCCAGAAUAGAGAGUAAAAGGAGCAGGUUUCUGGGGGCGAUAAAAUAGCUUCAAGGUAUAAUGUACAGACAAAGGUAUGGUAGGAUGUGAAUACAGUGGAGGUAAACCUAGGCAUUUAGUGAUGAUGAGAGAGAUAUUGUCUCUAGAAACAUAAUUGAAACCAGAAGAUGUCAUAGCAUGUGUGGGUGGUGGAACUGAAAGGUUGGAUAAGGUAUAAUGCGCAGGGCUAGAGGCUCUACAGUGAAAUAAGCCAAUAAACACUAACCAGAACAGCAAUGGACAAGGCAUAUUGACAUUAAGGAGAGGCAUGUUUAGCCGAGUGGUCAUAAGGGUCCCGUGAGAUUCAGACAGCUAGCCGGGCCAUCCACAGAAGAUGGAGGGAAGUCUGUUUUUAGCCACCUCGUGCGUUUCCGUCAGUAGAUUAGUGGGGUUCCGUGUGGAAGGGGGGACCAGUCCAAUUGCCAAAAUAGUUAUAGUGGCCCAAGAAAAUUGUCCGAUAGACCUAUUCAGAUAGCAGCCAAUAAGACAGCUAAUGAUUAGCGGGCCGCUGAUGGGCGUUAAGGUUACGUCGCGACGGAGGGGCCAGUUGGAUAACUCCCUCGGGCAGAUAACAUCGGUAGUCCAGUCGUGAAGGCCAGAUGGGGCUCCGCAUCGGCAGUAAAACGGGUCCGGAUAGGUGACUGUAGCCCAGGAGUGGCUGAUGGAACUCUUCAGCUGGCUAGCUCCAGAAUAAUUGCUGUUAGCUCCGGGACCGACGUUAGCCAAUAGUCACUCGGGUAGCAGCUAGGUGUAGGUAAUCAGACUAUAACAGGGCUGUUUUAGCUGAUAGGUAAUCAGAUUAUAACAGGGCUGUGUUAGCUGAUAGGUGUAGGUAAGACUAUAACAGGGCUGAUAGGUGUAGGUAAUCAGACUAUAACAGGGCUGUUAGCUGAUACAGUGGGGGGGAAAAGUAUUUGAUCCUCUGCUGAUUUUGUACGUUUGCCUACUUACAAAGAAAUGAUCAGUCUAUAAUUUUAAUAGUAGGUCAGGUUAGUAGUAGGCCAGUCUCCAGACCUUAAUCCCAUAGAACAUCUGUGGAGGGAGCUGAAGGUUCGAGUUGCCAAACGUCAGCCUCGAAACCUUAAUGACUUGGAGAAGAUCUGCAAAGAGGAGUGGGACAAAAUCCCUCCUGAGAUGUGUGCAAACAUGGUGGCCAACUACAAGAAACGUCUGACCUCUGUGAUUGCCAACAAGGGUUUUGCCACCAAGUACUAAGUCAUGUUUUGCAGAGGGGUCAAAUACUUAUUUCCCUCAUUAAAAUGCAAAUCAAUUUAUAACAUUUUUGACAUGUUUUUUUCUGGAUAUUUUUGUUGUUAUUCUGUCUCUCACUGUUCAAAUAAACCUACCAUUAAAAUUAUAGACUGAUCCUUUCUUUGUCAGUGGGCAAACGUACAAAAUCAGCAGAGGAUCAAAUACUUUUCCCCCCCCACUGUAGGUAAUCAGACUAUAACAGGGCUGAUAGGUAAUCAGACUAUAACAGGGCUGUGUUGUUAGCUGAUAGGUGUAGGUAAUCAGACCAUCGUUUACUGUUGGACUUAAAGGGAUACAUCAGGAUUUUGGCAACAAGGCCCUUUAUCUACUUACCCAGAGUCAGAUGAACUUGUGGAUACCAUUUGUAUGUCUCUGUGUCCAAUAUGAUGAAAGUUAGAGGUAGUUUCACAAGCCAAUGCUAACUAGCGUUAGCGCAUUGACUGGAAG